GAGUGCGAUCAUACCAGCACUAAUGCACCGGAUCCGAUCAGAACUCCGCAGCUAAGCGUGCUUGGGCGAGAGUAGUACUAGGAUGGGUGACCUCCUGGGAAGUCCUCGUGUUGCACCCC
rnacentral:rRNA from 1 species